GGGGGGGAAGGAGAGAGGCUCCCUGGGCAAAGCACCUGUCCCGUUAGCAGGGGCACAGUCACGUUUGAGUUGAGAGCUGCCGGCGCCUUUGGUGACCAGGCUGGCGUUGUGCUGGGCGACCUCCCCGUAAGCGGGGCUCGGGUCUUUGCUGUAGUUGGCCUUUUGCCUUGCUGCUCCUUUGGCUGCCUGGGGAGCGUGGCCCCCUGUAACGGAGGGCGAGAGCCACCUCUCCGCACCUGAGUGGGAAAUGGAGCUCGCCGGGACCCCGAGGCCACCCUGUAAGCAGGGUAGUGCCGUUUCCCUGCCCCUCUUCCUCCCCCGGCCCCUCGGCAUCGUUGCCUGAUGGUGGCUUGUCAAUGCGACGGCCCCGUACUCGGGGUGUGUGUCCCAAGCUUUGGAGCCCUCUGUCCCUGAGCAGCCCGCCCGCCCUGUAAUCAGGUGUGGGGAGGCUGCAGCGUUGCAGCCGGCUGCUUUAGCCAUCCAGCUGGUGGGAGUGACCCCUCCCUGUCCCGUCAGAGGGUGCAGGUUGAGGUGCUGUUUGUGUGUGGGGUGACCUCCCCGCUCGGUGGGUCGAGGUAGCUCCCUGGGCUUCCAAAGACGAGACGUUGGUGAUGUUCUGCUGCUGCCGGGCGGGCCAGCCUGUAACUCAGGCGUUGGCGGGAGCCUCGUGCUCCGCGGGGCUUCUUGAAGAGGGUGAGGUGUGGGGGUACCGUCCUGUAGGCAGGGCUGUGUGUGCCCCCCGUGUGUGCUUGGUGAGCUGCGUUCUGAGAGACCCCCUGUACUCAGGUGGGAAUGUGGCCCCGGCCUUUCAGAGGCGCGGGGCCGUGAGAUGCGGGGUGGGGCUUGCGCCCUCCCUGGAAUCGGGGCUGGGAUCCCGACUGCGGCCUUUGGCCGUGCCGCCCCGCUGCCUGGCUGCUGAGAGUUGCUCCUGCCGCUGGGGGGGAAACCGAGCUCUGUGGC
rnacentral:lncRNA from 1 species